UGGUGGGUUGCCUUGUCAGGUUGAUUCCGGUAACGAACGAGACCUCAGCCUGCUAAAUAGUCACGGGUACCUCGGUACACGCUUGACUUCUUAGAGGGACUAUUGGCGUUUAGCCAAUGGAAGUGUGAGGCAAUAACA
rnacentral:rRNA from 1 species